rnacentral:lncRNA from 1 species
GGGGUGAGGAUUCGGCCAAGCGCACGGGAGAAGCGGAGGGCCUAGUUCGAUUGGGCCCUUUUUGGUCUUCUCAUUCCUUGCUUUUCUCCCCCUUUUUUUUUGGGCUCUCUUUCUUUGGAGCCUUAGAUGCCAUGACCUCCUUCCUCAUUUGGAUCCCAUAAAAAUUCAAAAUUUUAAAUAUAAAUGAGAAAAUAAAAUAAACC